rnacentral:rRNA from 1 species
AUGUCGUCACUUUCCCCUUCUCGUCGAGGGUUUCCUCUGCCCUGUUACGUUCCCCACUCCAAUCCAAUGGCGACGACCAGCAACAAGAAAAUGGCGUCGCCGUCGCCUAUGCCGGACAUGCCCGACCAGCUCCUCGCCGAGAUCUUCCUCCGGCUGCCCACCCCACAAGACCUCGCCCGCGCCUCCGCCGUCUGCACCACCUUCCGCAGAAUCUCCACCGACAGGUCCUUCCUCCGCUGCUUCCGCUGCCUCCACGCGCCGCCACUCCUCGGAUUCCUCGACCGCGACGGCUUCCACCCAGCCCUACCCUCCACCCCCGCCGUCCGCGCGGUCGCCGCCGCCGCCGAUUUCACCUUCUCCUUCCUCCCCCACCACCGCCGCUGGACCGUGCAGGACGUCCGCGACGGCCGCGUCCUCCUCUCCCGCAGCACCGGAAAACUUGGGCAGCCCCCGGUCUUCAGAGAUCUCGCGGUGUGCGACCCCUUGCACUGGCGCUACGUCCUGCUCCCCCCGCUACCUCACGACCUAGCUGCUUUGCUUGGGCACCCGUUCCCCCCGGUAACCGAAGCCUGCUGCAAGCGCUUCCUCGUUCCCCUCGGCGAGGAGGAGGCAGCGGCUGGAGACACAACAUUCAGAGUCAUCUUGCUUGACACCACGAACAUGGAGUUCUCCGCUGCUGACCUCCCACCAGGAGAAUGGAGCAAGGAAGGUAUAGCCAUUGUGGAGGCCGGGGAAGGCAGGCUCGGGAUCUUUGGUUUCCGUGGUGAACUUGCAUCCAGUCUCAGCUAUACCACUGCACGGACCAAAGGCGAGAGUCCCAGCCAGUGGCAGAUGGAGAAGACAAUCUCACUAGAUUCUGGCUACAAAUAUUGUAUCAGAGAUGCAACACAGAGGUACUUGCUCUUGACAAGGAUAGAAGCAUCAUCCCUAAAUAAUCACCUUGUUGGAUAUUUCUCAAUGGAUAUCAAGACGUUGCAGCUUCAGAGGGUUUAUGAGAAACAGCACUAUUCUAAUCAGACAUACACAUAUAUCAACUUCCCACCAUCAUUGUUGUCUUCAAGGAGAAUAUGA